rnacentral:tRNA from 1 species
GACCGCGUAGCUCAGUUGGCAGAGCAUUGGGCUAGUAUUCCAAAGGUCGUAGGUUCAAUUCCCACCGUGGUCA